GUUGGGUAACACUAACUGGAGGACCGAACCGACUAAUGUUGAAAAAUUAGCGGAUGACCUGUGGCUGGGGGUGAAAGGCCAAUCAAACCGGGAGAUAGCUGGUUCUCCCCGAAAGCUAUUUAGGUAGCGCCUCGUGAAUUCAUCUCCGGGGGUAGAGCACUGUUUCGGCUAGGGGGCCAUCCCGGCUUACCAACCCGAUGCAAACUGCGAAUACCGGAGAAUGUUAUCACGGGAGACACACGGCGGGUGCUAACGUCCGUCGUGAAGAGGGAAACAACCCAGACCGCCAGCUAAGGUCCCAAAGUCAUGGUUAAGUGGGAAACGAUGUGGGAAGGCCCAGACAGCCAGGAUGUUGGCUUAGAAGCAGCCAUCAUUUAAAGAAAGCGUAAUAGCUCACUGGUCGAGUCGGCCUGCGCGGAAGAUGUAACGGGGCUAAACCAUGCACCGAAGCUGCGGCAGCGACACUGUGUGUUGUUGGGUAGGGGAGCGUUCUGUAAGCCUGUGAAGGUGUGUCGUGAGGCAUGCUGGAGGUAUCAGAAGUGCGAAUGCUGACAUAAGUAACGAUAAAGCGGGUGAAAAGCCCGCUCGCCGGAAGACCAAGGGUUCCUGUCCAACGUUAAUCGGGGCAGGGUGAGUCGACCCCUAAGGCGAGGCCGAAAGGCGUAGUCGAUGGGAAACGGGUUAAUAUUCCCGUACUUGGUGUUACUGCGAAGGGGGGACGGAGAAGGCUAUGUUGGCCGGGCGACGGUUGUCCCGGUUUAAGCGUGUAGGUGUGUGUUCCAGGUAAAUCCGGUUCACUUUAACACUGAGGCGUGACGACGAGGCACUACGGUGCUGAAGCAACAAAUGCCCUGCUUCCAGGAAAAGCCUCUAAGCAUCAGGUAACAUCAAAUCGUACCCCAAACCGACACAGGUGGUCAGGUAGAGAAUACCAAGGCGCUUGAGAGAACUCGGGUGAAGGAACUAGGCAAAAUGGUGCCGUAACUUCGGGAGAAGGCACGCUGACACGUAGGUGAAGUGAUUUACUCAUGGAGCUGAAGUCAGUCGAAGAUACCAGCUGGCUGCAACUGUUUAUUAAAAACACAGCACUGUGCAAACACGAAAGUGGACGUAUACGGUGUGACGCCUGCCCGGUGCCGGAAGGUUAAUUGAUGGGGUCAGCGCAAGCGAAGCUCCUGAUCGAAGCCCCGGUAAACGGCGGCCGUAACUAUAACGGUCCUAAGGUAGCGAAAUUCCUUGUCGGGUAAGUUCCGACCUGCACGAAUGGCGUAAUGAUGGCCAGGCUGUCUCCACCCGAGACUCAGUGAAAUUGAACUCGCUGUGAAGAUGCAGUGUACCCGCGGCAAGACGGAAAGACCCCGUGAACCUUUACUAUAGCUUGACACUGAACAUUGAGCCUUGAUGUGUAGGAUAGGUGGGAGGCUUUGAAGUGUGGACGCCAGUCUGCAUGGAGCCGACCUUGAAAUACCACCCUUUAAUGUUUGAUGUUCUAACGUGGACCCGUUACCCGGGUUGCGGACAGUGUCUGGUGGGUAGUUUGACUGGGGCGGUCUCCUCCUAAAGAGUAACGGAGGAGCACGAAGGUUGGCUAAUCCUGGUCGGACAUCAGGAGGUUAGUGCAAUGGCAUAAGCCAGCUUGACUGCGAGCGUGACGGCGCGAGCAGGUGCGAAAGCAGGUCAUAGUGAUCCGGUGGUUCUGAAUGGAAGGGCCAUCGCUCAACGGAUAAAAGGUACUCCGGGGAUAACAGGCUGAUACCGCCCAAGAGUUCAUAUCGACGGCGGUGUUUGGCACCUCGAUGUCGGCUCAUCACAUCCUGGGGCUGAAGUAGGUCCCAAGGGUAUGGCUGUUCGCCAUUUAAAGUGGUACGCGAGCUGGGUUUAGAACGUCGUGAGACAGUUCGGUCCCUAUCUGCCGUGGGCGCUGGAGAACUGAGGGGGGCUGCUCCUAGUACGAGAGGACCGGAGUGGACGCAUCACUGGUGUUCGGGUUGUCAUGCCAAUGGCACUGCCCGGUAGCUAAAUGCGGAAGAGAUAAGUGCUGAAAGCAUCUAAGCACGAAACUUGCCCCGAGAUGAGUUCUCCCUGAGACUUAGAGUCUCCUGAAGGAACGUUGAAGACGA
rnacentral:rRNA from 2 species